rnacentral:rRNA from 1 species
AGAGUUUGAUCAUGGCUCAGGAUGAACGCUAGCGGCAGGCUUAAUACAUGCAAGUCGAGGGGCAGCGGGGUAGCAAUACUGCCGGCGACCGGCAAACGGGUGCGGAACACGUACACAACCUUCCUUUCGGUGGGGGAUAGCCCAGAGAAAUUUGGAUUAAUACCCCAUAAAAUAUUGUGGUUGCAUAACUGUGAUAUUAAAGAUUUAUUGCCGGAAGAUGGGUGUGCGUAUGAUUAGGUAGUUGGUUGAGGUAACGGCUCACCAAGCCUUCGAUCAUUAACUGGUGUGAGAGCACGACCAGUCACACGGGCACUGAGACACGGGCCCGACUCCUACGGGAGGCAGCAGUAAGGAAUAUUGGUCAAUGGACGCAAGUCUGAACCAGCCAUGCCGCGUGAAGGAUGACGGCCCUCUGGGUUGUAAACUUCUUUUAUGGGGGGAGAAAAAAGGUCAUUAUUGGCCGUCUGACGGUACCCUAUGAAUAAGCACCGGCUAACUCCGUGCCAGCAGCCGCGGUAAUACGGAGGGUGCAAGCGUUAUCCGGAUUCACUGGGUUUAAAGGGAGCGCAGGCGGAUUGGUAAGUCAGUGGUGAAAGGCUUGAGCUUAACUCGGGAACUGCCAUUGAUACUAUCAGUCUUGAAUAUUGUUGAGGUUUGCGGAAUGGGUCAUGUAGCGGUGAAAUGCAUAGAUAUGACCCGGAACACCUAUUGCGAAGGCAGCAGGCUAAACAAAGAUUGACGCUGAGGCUCGAAAGCGUGGGGAUCAAACAGGAUUAGAUACCCCAGUAGUCC